UUUGAAACACUGGUUCCCGUACGAUCACCGAAGUUAAACAACGUCGGGCCUGGUCAGUACUUAGAUCAUGAACUCUUCGGAAUACAAGGUGGU